UACUACAAGCGCUAGCUUAAAACCCAAAGGACUUGGCGGUAUCCCACACCCACCUAGAGGAGCCUGUUCUAUAACCGAUAAUCCCCGUUCAACCUCACCACUUCUUGCCAUUACCGUUUAUAUACCGCCGUCGUCAGCCCACCCUGUGAAGGACCAAAAGUAAGCAAAAAGAAUAAAACUCCAAAACGUCAGGUCGAGGUGUAGCAAAUGAAGUGGGAAGAAAUGGGCUACAUUUUUUCCCAAAAAUAUACGAAUGAUAAACUGAAAACAUACCUAAAGGUGGAUUUAGCAGUAAGAGAAGAUCAGAAUACUUCUCUGAAAUCGGCUCUGGGAUAAGCACACACCGCCCGUCACUCUCCUCAAAAAUAACUCACCAUUUCCAUAAAUACAUUCCUUCAACAAGAGGAGGCAAGUCGUAACAUGGUAAGUGUACUGGAAAGUGCACUUGGAAUCAAAA
rnacentral:rRNA from 1 species